GACGGUUUGGACGAGUGGUCAAAGACGCCAGAUUUAGCCUCUGGUCUAAAACGGCGUGGGUUUAAAUCCCACAGCCGUCA
rfam:Ipomoea nil DNA, scaffold: scaffold3210, cultivar: Tokyo-kokei standard.